CACGCUGUAAACGAUGAUCACUAGACGUCGGUUUUGCGUUGCAAAAUCGGUGUCGUAGCUAACGCGAUAAGUGAUCCGCCUGGGGAGUACGGUCGCAAGACUAAAACUCAAAGAAAUUGACGGGGGUCCGCACAAGCGGUGGAACAUGUGGUUUAAUUCGACACUACGCGAGGAACCUUACCUAGGCUUGACAUUCUUUUGACAGCUACGGAAACGUAGUCUUCCAAGCUUGCUUGGACAAUUGAACAGGUGC
rnacentral:rRNA from 1 species